rnacentral:rRNA from 1 species
AUUGAACGCUGGCGGCAGGCCUAACACAUGCAAGUCGAGCGGAUGAAGGGAGCUUGCUCCUGGAUUCAGCGGCGGACGGGUGAGUAAUGCCUAGGAAUCUGCCUGGUAGUGGGGGAUAACGUCCGGAAACGGGCGCUAAUACCGCAUACGUCCUGAGGGAGAAAGUGGGGGAUCUUCGGACCUCACGCUAUCAGAUGAGCCUAGGUCGGAUUAGCUAGUUGGUGGGGUAAAGGCCUACCAAGGCGACGAUCCGUAACUGGUCUGAGAGGAUGAUCAGUCACACUGGAACUGAGACACGGUCCAGACUCCUACGGGAGGCAGCAGUGGGGAAUAUUGGACAAUGGGCGAAAGCAUGAUACAGCAAUGCCGCGUGUGUGAAGAAGGUCUUCGGAUUGUAAAGCACUUUAAGUUGGGAGGAAGGGCAGUAAGUUAAUACCUUGCUGUUUUGACGUUACCAACAGAAUAAGCACCGGCUAACUUCGUG